CCCUUAGAUGUUCUGGGCCGCACGCGCGCUACACUGACGAAUGCAACGAGCUUAUAACCUUGGCCGAAAGGUCUGGGUAAUCUCCAAAUUUCGUCGUGAUGGGGAUAGAUUAUUGCAAUUAUUAAUCUUCAACGAGGAAUGCCUAGUAAGCGCAAGUCAUCAGCUUGCGUUGAUUACGUCCCUGCCCUUUGUACACACCGCCCAUCGCUCCUACCGAUUGAAUGGUCCGGUGAAGCGUUCGGACCGUGGCCUUUGGACGGUUCGCCGUCUGUUGGCUGCGGGAAGUUCGUUAAACCUUAUCAUUUAGAGGAAGGAGAAGUCGUAACA
rnacentral:rRNA from 1 species